GCGUCGGAGGCGGAUGAGUCCCUGAUUGAUGGAGAUAUCCGCCAUCUUCCCAGAUGUUCCCAUAAUGCUCGAAAACAGGACUGGACGCAACAACAGGGCGGAUUCCAGACAGCCAAAAAACCAAAAACCAACCCAAGCAGUGUUGGCAGAGGGGGCCUUGGAAGAAGGUUUAAGACUUUUGGAGGGCAAAAGUCCAAAAGAACAAAGUUCAGCUGGGCAACCCUGGGCUCAUCCCAUGCAGGCAUGGAAGUCUAGAGGCCAGCAGCACUGGUGCAGGGCUUAUGGAGGCUGGCGACGUCUGAAGUGGAGGGGCCCGGAGAACCACUGCAUCUUGGCAGGCUUGGCGUCAGACGGGACCUGGAGCUUGGCAGCUGCCCCUCUAUAACUGGAUCUGAGGCGUACGGCAGACCCUCAGUUGAUGUGGUGAAAGGAACAGAAAGCCACUGAUGUGUUUGACAGGGUAAUCAGAGACUAGGCAAGGCAGCACAAUAAAGAAUGCUGGACCCUUCCUUCCUGCCAGGUUA